rnacentral:rRNA from 1 species
GACGAACGCUGGCGGCGCGCUUAACACAUGCAAGUCGAGCGAAGCGGCGGACGGGUGAGUAACACGUGAGUAACCUACCUUAGACAUUGGGAUAGCCUCGGGAAACCGGGAUUAAUACUAAAUGGUCUAAGAUGGCCUCGCGUCCCAUUAGCUAGUUGGUGAGGUAACGGCCCACCAAGGCGACGAUGGGUAGCCGGCCUGGUAGGGUGAACGGCAACAUUGGAACUGUGAAACUGUCCAAACGCUACGGGAGGCAGCAGUGGGGAAUAUUGCACAAUCGAGGGAACUCUGAUGCAGCGACGCCGCGUGAACGAAGAAGGCUUUCGAGUCGUAAAGUUCUUUUAGAUGGGAAGCGGUACCAUAAGAAAAAGCCCCGGCUAACUACGUGCCAGCAGCCGCGGUAAUAC